CGCGCAGGCGGUCCUUCAAGUCAGGGGUGAAAGCCCAGGGCUCAACCCUGGAAUGGCCUUUGAGACUAGAGGACUUGGGUACGGGAGAGGUGAGUGGAAUUCCGAGUGUAGAGGUGAAAUUCGUAGAUAUUCGGAAGAACACCAGUGGCGAAGGCGGCUCACUGGCCCGUUACCGACGCUCAGGCGCGACAGCGUGGGGAGCAAACAGGAUUAGAUACCCUGGUAGUCCACGCCGUAAACGAUGGAUGCUAGCCGUUGGUAAGCAUGCUUAUCAGUGGCGCAGCUAACGCAUUAAGCAUCCCGCCUGGGGAGUACGGCCGCAAGGUUGAA
rnacentral:rRNA from 2 species